CCUUCCCGUGCUUUUUAGAACAUAGAUGGCACCAGUCAGGUGACCAUCGAAACGUAAUACGCCGCGAUGACUUCGGUCACGACGGUAUGGCGAGCUUUCGCCGUCCACGUUUCUCUUUCUUCAAAAGGAUAUCGAACCAUGGGUUUGCGCUCGCGCGCUGUUCGCACCUUCGGUGCUGCGCUCCGCGAGGGCGCCGGACGACCGGCGACGGCCUCUGGCCUGUAUGGGCGACCCUUUCCGAGGUUUUGCUUAGGAUUGGCGUCGACGCAGAGAGAUGGGCCCGUAGCUCAGUUGGUUAGCCACCAGGCUUGAUAAGCGUGGGGUCGGAAGUUCAAGUCUUCCCGGGCCCACCAUUUGCACCAGCAAAUGAGGUUUGCUGUAGCGAAUUGUGGUUUGUUUGGGUUUACCUGAUCCUGGCGGUUUGCUGUCAGGUGUUUGCGAUGGUUGGGGCUGUAGCUCAGCUGGGAGAGCACCUGCUUUGCAAGCAGGGGGUCAGCGGUUCGAUCCCGCUCAGCUCCACCAAUUCGCUUGGUGUCGAGACUGAGAGAUAUCCUUUGAAGAAAUAAAAGUUUUGCACUGGCUUCGAGCUAGUGCCUGUUCUGCAUACAUUGUGAAGAGAAGAUUGAUCUGGAGGCUUCCAGGUGUUUUGGGUUUUGCCCAAGGCGUCCGAGCCCAGUUCCUGUGAAACCAUGGAUGGCCUAGCCGGCCGGAUGUGGUGGAGGGAUUGGAGGUAGGUAGGAAGCUUGUCACUCUGGAUCGUUUGUUGUUCGUUGCCUUUGUGCAUCGUCUGAUGAACGAUCGGAUUACCGUUGCCUGACCGCGCGGUAUCGGAUCCAAUCUCGAGAAGCUGGUCUUAAGACAGGCUGCAAGCGAGCUGCUCGGCGUAGCUCCAAUAAAGCAGACCUGUCGAACAACGUUCGAUGGCAUCA
rnacentral:tRNA from 1 species